rnacentral:rRNA from 1 species
UACUGAGGUCCCGAGCGUUGUCCGGAUUCACUGGGCGUAAAGGGUGCGUAGGCGGUCGGGUAAGUCUGAUGUGAAAUCUCUGGGCUCAACCCAGAAAUGGCAUUGGAUACUAUUCGGCUUGAGGAGUGGAGGGGGGACUGGAAUACUUGGUGUAGCAGUGAAAUGCGUAGAUAUCAAGUGGAACACCAGUGGCGAAGGCGAGUCCCUGGACACCUCCUGACGCUGAGGCACGAAAGCUAGGGGAGCAAACAGG